GUUGAAACUUCGAGAAGGUCAGUUGCUUGAGAGUCAGCGACAAGGAGCUAUUCAAACAUUCUACGGAUCGUUUACACUCGAGUCUGCCCAAGCACGAGCUGUAGUCGACGUCGACAGCAGCAGCUGCUGCUGACUAUCCAUCACACAGAACCCGAACUUAGAGCAAGUCAGCUGUUUCGUGACGCAACGGCAUCGUGAUGCAACGGCAUGAACUUCUAGUUACGUCAGCGCUAUUUCUAACAAAAAAAAGCCCGUGAACAGAUUACGUCGCCACAGAUGCGGGUUAUCAUCUCCGGUUCCGCUCUGCCGUUCGCCAGCUAUUAUCGGAUGAACCGUCCGUACGACGCCUACACUCUGCUUUAGAAGUGACACAAUCUUUCCUCACGAGAGGGAGAAAAUCAAGGUAGACGAAAGGAGAAAGUCGCUGCAAAUUGGGGUGGAGUGUCAUCUGAUAGGUCGUUUUCCCCAAUCGAGGCAAAAUGAAGAUGCAGCCCGUAACCCCCUCACCCCACAUCUCCAGGAACAGCGAGAGCCCAACACAACAUCCAACAACAACAACAACAACAGUAGCAACACCAUCAUCAAUAACAACAACAACAUAAACUACAAAAGUGCGGAAAAAACACCAAACCGUUAGCGAGACGAAAAGUCGUUUUACGACGAUGUCCAGCAAACACACAACGCAUCUUUACUUGCUUCACUUACCCAAAGCUAUCGGGGAGUUGAUGGCCGUCGCUGCGUGGCCAAUGGCCGUGGGCAACUAUCGGUUGCCACACUACGGGCUGGCCGGCUCUCUGAACACAGUAACACCUUGACAGUAAGGCACCUAUGUACUCUUCACUAAUCUGCUACCGAAGCUGAGUAUUGAUGCAGCCAUUCGAAAAUUGAUGCAAUCAUUAUAUUUCCCCUGAAUGUAUAUGAUAUAGCGGAUAGGAAUUUAAAAUCUUUCAGCAGCUGAGCAGUAUUCAUCAUUUCAACCCAUGUAAGUGUAGGAAUGGCAUUUUGAUAUUGUCUUUCUGUAUAUCUGUGCUAUCGGGCCGCAAAAAAAUGACAAGGAACGUCCAUCAUCUUGGGAGAACUUCAGAGGAUUCUGCACACUAAUUUUACAUAGCGGCUAUAUCGCAGUUAUUAAUAGAACUGGUAUCUCGUAGAACAAGUUUAGAUAAAAAUAUACGCAGUUUAUAUACGUAUAAUGAAAGAGGUGGCGUCUGCUAAAGUCCAGGAUGAGCUCAAAGUUCCUCGAUGAUGGCAAGUGAUGUUUCUAAAACAAUGAAGUUGGACACAAUUAGAUUUCACCAACAAAUAGGAGAUCAUAAUUCAAAUAUUAGACAACAGAUGUUUGUUGUGCCGGUUCGAAAACGCUGACGACCGAUCGAGCAGCAAUGCGUGCUCUCCAGAAGCGUAUCGCGCUACUUAGGUGGCCACGGUAUUAUAAUUAUCGUGCUUGGGUACAUGUGGCUGUUGAAAGCGUUUGUAGACAAACCUUCCUGCUUGUCCGAGCCUACUGCCGAUGCUUGUCCGAUGAUGUCUUGGUAGUUUUACUUGGCACAUCGAAAUUUUCAUCGAACGGUGUCAGAGUGGUGGAGCUUACUAAAAGACCUGCGUUUUUCCACAGUCCCGCCUAGUGCCUUUUCGCUCUGUCGUCCCUUUUCUUUUCGUAGAACUAAUUUAUUUAACCAAUUAUUUAUGGACCUUGUAAUAAAGUAUCAAUUAAGAGAUCACGUUCCCUGA